ACAAACUUCUUCAGAAGUUAUUUAUAGAUGAAGUGAUUUUGAAGCUACACAAAAGCAUUGAUUCAAGUGGGUUGAUGAUAGUCGUCCCACAAAAAAAAAAUUCUUUUUCGUUUUCAAGGAAAUGAUUACAAUUACUCCUCCUGAAGCAGUUUAUGUUCAAGGUGACUUUGAAAGUACUUACACGCAUGGAUGCAAGUGGGCUGAUAUCAGCACAGUAAAAAAAGGUUACCCUUUCUUUGCUGUACUGUUAUCAGCCCACUUGCAUCCAUGCUUGUAAGUACUUUCAAAAUCACUUUGAACAUAAAGUGCUUCAGGUGGACUAAUUGUAAUCAUUACCUUGAAAACGAAAAAGAAUUCUUUUUUUGUGGGACGACUAUCAUCAACCCACUUGAAUCCAUGCUUUUGUGCAGCUUCAAAAUCACUUCGAAUAUAUAUAACUUCUGAAAAAGUAUGUUUUAAUAAAUACGAAUCAUCCCAGGCUACGGUUUUUUUAUUUUUUCCUCGGAAACAUUUAAAGAUAGAAAAUUAUUUUCAACGACUCUUCCAAUGGUGCGAAAUUAUUGAUCGAAAAACGUGUUGUGCGAUUACCUAAUGUUAGUGUAGAGUCAGAUAUUCUAGUUGCACACAUGCGACCAAGAGCGGACCUUACAUUGUGAAGUGAAAGAUGAUUGAAAAAUAAGACGUAGUUGUACUUGGGGGCGACGAGCACCCUCCGCCAGCCAAUCAGAUGAGUAGCUUGCUAUAGACAGUGAUAAUACCGAGCACCCCAAAUCGUUGCUUCCCUGGUCCUUCCACCAAAGACGCGGACGUUCUGUAUCAAUGGCGACUUGUGUUUGUUCCGUGUGUUCCCAGAGAUCAGUAUUGUAUAUGCUCUCCGGUCACCAUAUUUUCAAUAUUUUUUUUAAGCAUUUGUUUACAAAUGUUUGGAUGCACGAUUAAAUAGAGGCAGAGUUUUUCCACGUUUCGCAUUCGUAAUACUGCAUUGAUUUAACGUUCGAGUUCGAAUGCGAGUACUUAUUUGCUUAGACUUCCACACAUUACUUAACUGUCCGAAAGCUGACUUAACUUUCCUCAGUCAGGCCGAGACGAUUUUAUCUGCACCACUGCUCAAUUGGAUCAUUACCAAUUCUGAUGGAUGGAGGAUCCUGAAUAGUUUAACUGCUGCACACGACUUUUAUUUUUCUAUGGCUUAUGAAUAGGCCGACAUAGGAUGCACAGGAACUGAGUAUGUCCAUAAGUAUAAGUAAUGUGGAACCUAUUUACUUGGCGGAUAAAUAUGUUGUGAAUGGCGGAGGCAUGUGGCAGAAAGACAAAGUACGCGUUUAUUAUGACGGAUAAAUUUAACAAUGAUAAAAAGAGAAGGAAUACAUUAUGCACGUAAAACAUCUACCCAGUACUUAUUGAAGAGAAUUAAGUAAAUAUGAAAACUGAAGUUUUCUUAGAAUGCCUCAGGGUUGAAGUUGGUAUUUUACUCAUUGUAGAAGCAAUAGAAAACCACAAAAUUUUUUCGAAAAUUGCGGAAACUAUAAGUUGGUUUAUAAACAAAAUUUGGAUCACCUAUUAACUCACCUCAAAAUACAUUUUACUGUUAAGUGCAUAGCAUUUAAACGUUAAUAACUGGCUGUCUCAACAAUGUUAGGAAACAAACUCUGUUUGAACCCAACUACAAUCUAUCAAGAAAGAAAGUCCUAUUAGACAGAGCACCCAUACCAAAAAAUUAGAAACUUCCUUGCACCAAAUAUUCAGAAUGUACAGACAAGAAGAGGAAAAAGGAACAAUUAAAGACCUCUGAAUGCUGCACCUUGGUAGGAUAGCACCAUUUGACUGAAGAGCUUUUGGAACUGAAUAUUAUUUCCACAAUGAAAAAUAUUACCUAAUAUAACCCAACUGCAAUCCAUCAAGAACAAAAGUCCUGUUGGACAGGGUAACCAUGCCGAAAAAUUAUAAAUUUGCUUGCACCAGAUAUGCAGAAGUUACAGACAAGAAGAGGGAAAAAGAACAAUUAAAAA